UACGUAGGGUGCAAGCGUUGUCCGGAAUCAUUGGGCGUAAAGCGCGCGUAGGCGGCCCGAUAAGUCCGCUGUAAAAGUCAACGGCUCAACUGUUGAAAGCCGGUGGAUACUGUCGGGCUAGAGUACGGAAGAGGCGAGUGGAAUUCCCGGUGUAGCGGUGAAAUGCGUAGAGAUCCGGAGGAACACCAGUGGCGAAGGCGACACGCUGGGCCGUACCUGACACUGAUGCGCGACAGCAUGGGGAGCAAACAGG
rnacentral:rRNA from 1 species